rnacentral:rRNA from 1 species
AACGAACGCUGGCGGCAGGCUUAACACAUGCAAGUCGAGCGCCCCGCAAGGGGAGCGGCAGACGGGUGAGUAACGCGUGGGAAUCUACCCAUCUCUACGGAAUAACGCAUGGAAACGUGUGCUAAUACCGUAUACGUCCUUCGGGAGAAAGAUUUAUCGGAGAUGGAUGAGCCCGCGUUGGAUUAGCUAGUUGGUGGGGUAAAGGCCUACCAAGGCGACGAUCCAUAGCUGGUCUGAGAGGAUGAUCAGCCACACUGGGACGGAGACACGGCCCAGACUCCUACGGGAGGCAGCAGUGGGGAAUAUUGGACAAUGGGCGCAAGCCUGAUCCAGCCAUGCCGCGUGAGUGAUGAAGGCCCUAGGGUUGUAAAGCGCUUUCACCGGUGAAGAUAAUGACGGUAACCGGAGAAGAAGCCCCGGCUAACUUCGUGCCAGCCGCCGCAGUAAGAC